rnacentral:rRNA from 1 species
GAUGAACGCUGGCGGCGUGCCUAAUACAUGCAAGUCGAGCGAACAGGCGAGGAGCUUGUUCCUUUGACGUUAGCGGCGGACGGGUGAGUAACACGUGGGUAACCUACCUCUAAGCCGGGGAUAACUUCGGGAAACCGGAUCUAAUACCGGAUAAUAUUUCGAACCGCAUGGUUCGAUAGUGAAAGAUGGCUUUGCUAUCACUUAUAGAUGUACCUGCGCCGUAUUAGCUAGUUGGUAAGGUAACGGCUUACCAAGUCAACGAUACGUAGCCGACCUGAGAGGGUGAUGGGCGACAGUGGAACUGAGACGCGGCACAGACUCCUACGGGAGGCAGAGGUAGGGAAGCUUGCGAACAGGGCGAAAGCCUGACGGAGGAACGCCGGGUGAGUGAAGAAGGUCUUCGGAUCGUAAAACUGUGUUAGUAGGGAAGAACAAACGUGUAAGUAACUGUGCACGACUUGACGGUACCUAAUCAGAAAGCAACGGCUAACUACGUG